AGAGUUUGAUCCUGGCUCAGGACGAACGCUGGCGGCAUGCCUAACACAUGCAAGUCGAACGGAGAUUACUUCGGUAAUCUUAGUGGCGAACGGGUGAGUAACGCGUGGGCAACCUGCCCUCUAGAUGGGGACAACAUCCCGAAAGGGGUGCUAAUACCGAAUGUGACAGCAAUCUCGCAUGAGGAUGCUGUGAAAGAUGGCCUCUAUUUAUAAGCUAUCGCUAGAGGAUGGGCCUGCGUCUGAUUAGCUAGUUGGUGGGGUAACGGCCUACCAAGGCGAUGAUCAGUAGCCGGUCUGAGAGGAUGAACGGCCACAUUGGGACUGAGACACGGCCCAGACUCCUACGGGAGGCAGCAGUGGGGAAUCUUCCGCAAUGGGCGAAAGCCUGACGGAGCAAUGCCGCGUGAGUGAUGAAGGAAUUCGUUCCGUAAAGCUCUUUUGUUUAUGACGAAUGUGCAGGUUGUGAAUAAUGAUCUGUAAUGACGGUAGUAAACGAAUAAGCCACGGCUAACUACGUGCCAGCAGCCGCGGUAAUACGUAGGUGGCGAGCGUUAUCCGGAAUUAUUGGGCGUAAAGAGGGAGCAGGCGGCACUAAGGGUCUGUGGUGAAAGAUCGAAGCUUAACUUCGGUAAGCCAUGGAAACCGUAGAGCUAGAGUGUGUGAGAGGAUCGUGGAAUUCCAUGUGUAGCGGUGAAAUGCGUAGAUAUAUGGAGGAACACCAGUGGCGAAGGCGACGAUCUGGCGCAUAACUGACGCUCAGUCCCGAAAGCGUGGGGAGCAAAUAGGAUUAGAUACCCUAGUAGUCCACGCCGUAAACGAUGAGAACUAGGUGUUGGGGGAAUAACUCAGUG
rnacentral:rRNA from 1 species